UAGGGAAUCUUCCGCAAUGGACGAAAGUCUGACGGAGCAACGCCGCGUGAGUGAAGAAGGAUUUCGGUUCGUAAAACUCUGUUGUUAGGGAAGAAAAAAUGUAUAGUAACUAUAUACAAAAGAGACGGUACCUAACCAGAAAGCCACGGCUAACUACGUGCCAGCAGCCGCGGUAAUACGUAGGUGGCAAGCGUUGUCCGGAAUUAUUGGGCGUAAAGCGCGCGCAGGUGGUUUAGAAAGUCUGAUGUGAAAGCCCACGGCUCAACCGUGGAGGGUCAUUGGAAACUAGUAAACUUGAGUGCAGGAGAGAAAAGUGGAAUUCCCAGUGUAGCGGUGAAAUGCGUAGAGAUUAGGAGGAACACCGGUGGCGAAAGCGGCUUUUUGGCCUGCAACUGACACUGAGGCGCGAAAGCGUGGGGAGCAAACAGG
rnacentral:rRNA from 1 species